rnacentral:rRNA from 1 species
CUGGCUCAGGAUGAACGCUGGCGGCGUGCCUAACACAUGCAAGUCGAACGAGCGAGAGAUGAAACCUAGUGAUUCUCGAGCGAGUGGCGGACGGGUGAGUAACGCGUGGGUAACCUGCCUUACAGAGGGGGAUAACAGUCUGAAAAGACUGCUAAUACCGCAUAAGCACACAGUACCGCAUGGUACAGGGUGAAAAGAUUUAUCACUGUAAGAUGGACCCCGCGUCUGAUUAGCCAGUUGGCAGGGUAACGGCCUACCAAAGCGACGAUCAGUAGCCGACCUGAGAGGGUGAUCGGCCACAUUGGGACUGAGACACGGCCCAAACUCCUACGGGAGGCAGCAGUGGGGGAUAUUGCACAAUGGAGGAAACUCUGAUGCAAGCGACGCCGCGUGAGUGAAGAAGUAUUUCGGUAUGUAAAGCUCUAUCAGCAGGGAAGAUAAUGACAGUACCUGACCAAGAAGCCCCGGCUAACUACGUGCCAGCCGCCGC